UACGAAGGGGGCUAGCGUUGCUCGGAAUCAUUGGGCGUAAAGCGCGUGUAGGCGGUCCGGUAAGUCCGCUGUGAAAGUCGGGGGCUCAACCCUCGGAUGCCGGUGGAUACUGUCGGGCUUGAGUACGGAAGAGGCGAGUGGAAUUCCUGGUGUAGCGGUGAAAUGCGCAGAUAUCAGGAGGAACACCAAUUGCGAAGGCAGCUCGCUGGGACGUUACUGACGCUGAGACGCGAAAGCGUGGGGAGCAAACAGG
rnacentral:rRNA from 1 species